rnacentral:rRNA from 1 species
UAGCGUGAGGGAAGUAGGCCCUACRGGUUGUGAACCUCUUUUGCGUGGGGAUAACCGGCGCCACUUGUGGCGUCCUGCAGGUACCGCGCGAAUAAGGACCGGCUAAUUCCGUGCCAKCAGCCGCGGUAAUACUGAASGUCCGGGCGUUAUCCGGAUUCAUUGGGUUUAAAGGGAGCGUAGGCCGCCCCUUAAGCGUGCCGUGAAAAGCAGCGGCUCAACCGCUGUCGUGCGGCGCGAACUGGGGGGCUUGAGUGCGCGGGAGGCAGGCGGAAUUCGUGGUGUAGCGGUGAAAUGCAUAGAUAUCACGAGGAACCCCGAUUGCGAAGGCAGCCUGCCGCAGCGCAACUGACGCUGAUGCUCGAAGGCGCGGGUAUCGAACAGGAUUAGAUACCCUGGUAGUCCGCGCGGUAAACGAUGGACGCCCGCCGUGGGGGAUUGAUUUUCCGCGGCCAAGCGAAAGCGUUAAGCGUCCCACCUGGGGAGUACGCCGGCAACGGUGAAACUCAAAGGAAUUGACGGGGGCCCGCACAAGCGGAGGAACAUGUGGUCUAAUUCGAUGAUACGCGAGGAACCUUACCCGGGCUUGAACUGCGGGGGAACCGGCCGGAGACGGCCGCGCCCUUCGGGGUCCCUGCGGAGGUGCUGCAUGGUUGUCGUCAGCUCGUGCCGUGAGGUGUCGGCUCAAGUGCCAUAACGAGCGCAACCCCCGCCCCCAGUUGCCAUCGGGCGAGGCCGGGCACUCUGGGGGGACUGCCGCCGCAAGGUGCGAGGAAGGCGGGGACGACGUCAAAUCAGCACGGCCCUUACGUCCGGGGCCACACACGUGUUACAAUGGGGCGCACAGAGCGCUGGGUGCGCGCAAGCGCGCCCGAAUCGCGAAACCGCCCCUCAGUUCGGACUGGGGUCUGCAACCCGACCCCACGAAGCUGGAUUCGCUAGUAAUCGCGCAUCAGCCAUGGCGCGGUGAAUACGUUCCCGGGCCUUGUACACACCGCCCGUCAAGCCAUGAAAGCCGGGGGCGCCUGAAGUCCGUGACCGCGAGGGUCGGCCUAGGGCGAGACCGGUGAUUGGGGCUAAGUCGUAACAAGGUAACCGUAAAUG